GAUGAACGCUGGCGGUAUGCUUAACACAUGCAAGUCGAACGGACUCUUCGGAGUUAGUGGCGGACGGGUGAGUAACGCGUGAGAAUCUGGCUUUGGGUUCGGGACAACCACUGGAAACGGUGGCUAAUACCGGAUGUGCCGAGAGGUAAAAGAGAAAUUGCCUGAAGAUGAGCUCGCGUCUGAUUAGCUAGUUGGUGAGGUAAAGGCUCACCAAGGCAGCGAUCAGUAGCUGGUCUGAGAGGAUGACCAGCCACACUGGGACUGAGACACGGCACAGACUCCUACGGGGGGCAGCAGUGGGGAAUUUUCCGCAAUGGGCGAAAGCCUGACGGAGAAAUACCGCGUGAGAGAAGAAGGCUCGUGGGUUGUAAACCUCUUAUCUGAGGGAAGAACAAAAUGACGGUACCUAAGGAAUCAGCAUCGGCUAACUCCGUG
rnacentral:rRNA from 1 species